rnacentral:sRNA from 1 species
GCGUAAACAUAGUUCUGUGAUAUUAGUUUUUAAUUUUUCGCUGCAAUAUUUUACAUUUUAUUUAUUUAUUUACUUUUUUAUUUAUGAGUCGUGAUGUCCAGUUUUUUAAUGAAUUAAGAUAAUAAUGCAAAUGUAAACAUAUAUUUCACUACAUAAACUCUUGAAAAAGUCGGAAAAAAAUAGACGAAACUUCGAGAAAAGGAUGAAAUAAACUUGUUUUAUUUGCAUUUUGAAACAUAUUGAUCCUAACAACCCGCAAAAAUCACUGGAUCACUGGUCACUAACAAAAAUUAUAGAUAUUUAAUUUUUACAUAAAACCUUGAAUUUAUAUAAAAUUCUUAAUUAAAUUGACCAACCUUUACAUACAUUUGCACUUUCUGCAAAUACCAAAACAAAA